UGGGGAAUUUUGGACAAUGGGCGAAAGCCUGAUCCAGCCAUGCCGCGUGAGUGAAGAAGGCCUUCGGGUUGUAAAGCUCUUUUAGUCGGAAAGAAAAGAUCAUAAUGAACAAUUAUGAUUCAUGACGGUACCGACAGAAAUAGCACCGGCUAACUACGUGCCAGCAGCCGCGGUAAUACGUAGGGUGCGAGCGUUAAUCGGAAUUACUGGGCGUAAAGGGUGCGCAGGCGGUUUUGUAAGUCAGAUGUGAAAUCCCCGGGCUUAACCUGGGAAUUGCGUUUGAAACUGCAAGACUAGAGUGCAGCAGAGGGGAGUGGAAUUCCAUGUGUAGCAGUGAAAUGCGUAGAGAUGUGGAAGAACACCGAUGGCGAAGGCAGCUCCCGUGGGUUGACACUGACGCUC
rnacentral:rRNA from 1 species